UGAGUGGGAGCAGGGAUAGCCGCAGGCCACAGGCGCGCCCCCAGCGCGGCCCGCGGGAGGCGGCUGUGCCCGCGGCUGUCACUGGGACCCGCGGCUGCCCUGCGGGGCUGGAAUCGGCGGCGGUGGGGAUAAAAGGCGCGACCCACGCGCGCCAGUAGCUGCCGCCCUCGGGAGACCCCAGCCCUGCUCGGGGUCUCCCGCAGGUUCGGUGUCACCUCUCAGCCCCGUGCGGGUGCUGAGGCGGGUGAGCAGACAGUUCCCAGGGUGAGCGAUGAACAGUCCCGUUACCGCCCGCGCUUUGAUACCGGUCGCAGGUCAGCCUCGAGCUGAUCCGAGAAAAACCUCACAACUUUUCCUCCUUGUGUGGAACUUUUUCAAUUCGAAAUACUCCUAUAUCCCCCAUACUACGAACUGCCAGAAGUCUGCAUGUCAAUGUAAAAACUGUCUCCAAGGAGAACCAGUACAUAAAAGGUUCCUAUGAAAGGGUUUUAAAAUCCCAAAUAUAGUAGGCGUUAAAAACUAUGUAAACAUUUGUUGGGCAUUUGGACACAAUUUUUCUGCAGUUAGGUGACUUUAUAUGGCGUGCUUUCCCUCCAAUGCAAGUUGUUUUAAGCUGAUUUCACAUUCAAAUAGAUGCAUUCUGCUUGCUUGCAACUACUAACAUUAUUCAAGGAAUAAGCUGGAAAAGAGCUAAGUGAUUACAGUAGGACAGUUGAAGCUGCUUCCCCCCAAAUAUUUGAAAUUACAUAACUUUUUCCUUACAAUUUUACUCUCAAAUACCGGUGAAGUGUAAAGCAUAAAACCUUCAGAGAUACAUGGUGACGCAAAUGAAACCAUAUUGUAAAACUUAUGGCGUUUUCAGCCCUCUCUCCAAACUUAAAUAUUCUUCAUACAUGUUUAAUAUAAUCCACUGGCAGAUUUGUAAAGUAAUUGCUUGUGUAAAUCACCCAGGAGCACAUUUCUCCCUCAAGUCCUUUUGUAGGAUUGUCUGAUAAAGCACUUUAUGAAUAGAAAAACAGUAAUUCACAUACAAGAGGUGAACUUGUCAUGUUGAAAAUGGAAGUUUGCAUGAUUAGGCAGACACAGGAGGAUCCCCGACACAGGGAAAGGGGAACUGACUGAUUACGUGUGGUAUUCCCUCUAUACCUCUCCACAGAAACUGAGUUUGGAGCAGCAGAGACAUAGAUUGAAUAGGAAGGAAAGUAAUACCAAAAUUUAAAGUUUGUUACAAAGUAUGCCUCGAUACUUUAGUACCUCAUACUUGGUAGCACCUCACUCAUAUGUGCGCAGACACCCUUUCCUGAGUUCAUAAAUUUAUUUUUUCACAAGCUGCAAAUGCCAUGACUGAAACACGGUCAAAGAGACAAGCCCCUUCCACAAACUUUAGUGACUACAGAACUCUGAAAAGCAAGUAUUUUUGUCACAUCAAUUCAAACAUGUUUUUCUCAACAGUUCUCAUUUUAUUAUUUUUACUGAGCAUGUCAGCCCCAAAUGACUGUUCACUUGGCUUAUGUCUUGCAUAGGAAGGGUUAAAAUAGGCAGGUUACUUGGCUAAGCAUCUUACAAGCAGAGCUUGAGUGGAAAAUAUUUAAACAAGAGUUAUUUCCCUAUACUUCUCUGCUCUAGUGAGACUUAUUAAUGUCUUUUUAUUUUAAACCAGGAAAUGAUGCCCCUCGCACCUUAAAUCCCAGCCAGUUCUUAUGUGUGGCUCUAGCUUCCCCAAAUUUUAUUCACAUUAUGACAGACAAACUGUGAAGAUCGAUAACAGCAAAAACACAGAUUUCAACGUGUGUAAAGUGUGAUAACAAACACACCUUUUUUCACCUAUAAAGCAGUAUUAUAGAGAUGUGUUUUUUAAGGACAUAAGUAUCUUUGUGCAUGCACUUUUAAAAUGAAACUGCAAAGCCAUUCAUAAACAAAAUGAGAAGGACACAACACGUCUUCGUAGUUUGAAGUAGACAACUCUAAUGAAAUACUCUAUUGCUCAGAAAAAAGUUUGUUACCGUAUCUUUAUUAGAAACGCUUUCAUGAUACAUUCUGCAUUUCAAGUUAAAAUAAAGCAGAUCAAGAAGAUGUCAAUAUGAAUCUGUUUAUAUUCACCACAAAGAACUGUAGAGAAUUUAACAAAGGCAAAAAAUAUUUUAUAGACUUUUUUCAGGCAAAUUAUUUAUUUAUGAAAUAAUUUACAAAGAAAAUUUUUACCUCAUGGCUAAGAUACAUUGCAUAUGCUUAUGAUUGACACAAUAUGUUCAGGCUCAAAGGCCCAUAUAGGCUUCCCCCCUCUUUUUUUUCUUUUUUUUUCUUUUUUUUUCUUUUUUUUUUCUUUUUUUAAAAUUUUAUUCCUAGCAGGAAUAUUUCAAAAAAGCCAACUAAUUCAUGAAGUCAUACAAUAAUUGUUUGACAGUUGUUUCCAAUAUAGUAAAAUAAGUUAUGUAUAUUGUUUUCAUUCAAAUAUUUGUUGAUUUGUUGUUAGAAUGCUUUGACAUUGACAUGCCACAAAUUGCAUUAGGAGAAAUAUUGUAGAUUUAUUUUCAUUUAUUAUCUUCUGCUGUCAAACUUUUCCAAAACCACUUAAAAGAAGUUUUAUUUCACUUUGUUCAAAACUUGUAGUCUGCAUGCAAGUAGGUUGUUUUUGAAAUAACAAAUUCAGCUUUCUCUAAUAGAUAAGAGCUGAGAAAAUUAAGGAAAAGCAGCAAAGCGAGAAGAUGCAGAAAGUGCUGCUUUCACUGAGAGGCAUGAACAAAGUAACUUCUAAAUAAUCCUCUGGGAUUUUUUACAGUCAGGCACAUUCUCAAUUGAGGGAGAAUACAGAGGCCAGUCACAGUUGCUUCUUGAAGGAAAACAGUAUAACAGUCAUUGUUUAUCAAGAUGACAUAACAUGCCAUUUUUGCCUUUAUUGUUUAAUGCAGUUUCUCUUGUAGUUUACUCAGCAUAGAUACAAAGAGGGAUUAACAGUAAAGCAUAAGCAUACUUGUUUUACAAUUUCAGCCUUUUAGUGCAUAACUUACUGAAAGUACUAGGGCCUAUAAUCACAAUGAUUUUACCUGAUGGAACAUGCAUUUCAGAAAUAUAAUCCAACUGUUUACCCUAACACGUCAUAAAUUGCAAUUCCUUACAAAAACCUCAGAGAUUGACAUCUGUUGCUCUUAAAUGCCUGCUGCUUUAGCACACAUCAUCAAGAAAGUAUUUCUGUAUUAUUCUCCCUCUCGUUGGUAGUAUAUUACUUGAAUUCUAAAGACAGUUCUCUCAUACUGUCUUCAGUAAUGAACAUUUUGAGAAGCACUUAGUUAUGUGUCUGCGGCACUCCAGUACGAGAUUCUUGGGAUCAUAGACACGGCAACUUGCAGUAUUUCUGCAGACCCACUUCUUUUCUUUGCACAACUUUUGUCACAUGAAAUUGUCAGGAAACUUUUGUUUCCUAACACCCUGCACAGAGUCAAGUUUCUAAACUUCAAAUUGUGUGCCAAAGGCUAAAAACUACCACUGAUUUUCAAAGAAAUGGGACUGGGGACCCUAACGAUGUGGUUGAAACGUCUCUGAAAAGAGAUUAUGCGUUGUGAUAGACAGGGCAGCGCUGAGAACAGCCAAUGAAACAGCAUGCAACUGAAGAGCUAAUACCAUGGCAUCAUCCCAGAUUCAACAGAUGUUUUCUAGGGGGAUUGGAUAUCUGGUAAUGGGAAAUGGAACCUUUCUUUUCUAUGUCACUGGUUUUAACACAGGCCAGUAGCAAUGGAAAGUCAAUACUAAGCAAUGCUUGUUUGGUAGCUUUCUCCACUGCAGGGUAGAAAAAUGUCCUCCUGCCUGCAGCACACCGUGGCUGGCUGGUACUUCCCUGCACCCCGGUGGCACUGCUGCCAAAAGGGCCUUGCACAGCAGUGCCUAGAAAUCCUUUUCCCUGGGAGCAGUCUCCCAGGGAGGGAUGAGGAGCACCGGCCGGGCACAGACUGCUCCUGCUAAUGGUGUGUCUGCAGAUAGUUAAAUAACUCUGGCAGCCGCAAAAGAUAAUUUAUCACUUUGCACUAUCAUAAAAUCUACUAGAAAAUUAAAAAUGCUAUAACACCAGACUCCCUAAAAUCAUUUGCAUGCAGGAAUCCACAUAAUUGUAUAGAUUUUGAUCUUAAAAAUGCUAUGUAAAAGGCAUUCAUCCAAAGCUCUGAAAAGCCUCACAUGCACAUACACAUACGUAUGAAGUAAUACAUAAUGAGUGUCUCCCAACAAAUAUCAAUAAAAGAAGUGGCAGCAUUUCUUCCCACAUCUCAACUGAAAGAUCAGCAAAUCAAAACAACUUGAGCCCCCUGUCUUGUCAUCACCUGCUGCCAGACAGAGCCACUACCUUUCCCUCCCUCAAUUCCAUAUUCAUCCUCCCUCCAGCAUUUCCAGCAUUUCUGGGAAGGUUAAUCUGGAUUGGUUAAAAGGGUGCUCAAGUUAAAAAAAAAAAAAAAACAAACUAUAAGUGAGUUGAGUAGUUUUUACAUUAGGUCCUAUAUACAAGUAUUUUUGAAUCUUACUCCUAAGGUUUGUUGCUAUAUAAUUACAGUGUUUUGAACAUAGUAAUGUUAAAACUCUCUACAGUGUUUCCUAAUAUAAAGCAACAGUUCUGUACAAUUGAAGUGUUUGGCUCAAAAGGAAUUUUCUUUCACUUGAUUUCUUGUAAAUACUUUUUUCUUUUCCAUUUGUGACUUCUAACCAUGUUCAAAUCUUUAUUUUAAUGUGACAUACUACAAACAACAUGCUUUUAUUGCAAAAAAAUAUUUAUUCACAUUGCUACUGAUGCAAGGUCUCAGAUUUAGUUUAGGGAAAGAAAAUAUCUUGCAAAUAUGUAUAUUUCACUUUGUAAAAAAGUGCACUUUCCAUUCCAUUAUGAACUUCAAAUGCAUAGCCACAAUAUAUGGCCCAGGAGGUGAAGUAAUAGCACUUGGAAAUCUCAGACACACAGUGCAUUGGUAAAAUUACCAAGGUGCUGUCACUAUUUUCCAAUUACAAAUGGAGAGAAAGUCACUCAAGGUAAACAUGGCAAUGUAACAAGUGGUCUUUAGUGGUCUCUCUGUUUCCCAUGAAACGUCUAAGGACACACAAGAACACACAAAUAGCUACAUUCAACCAGACUAAUUUAUCUAACUUUCAUAGUACUCAGUCCUUUGUGUAAGGGAGGGCUUGACCUUAAUCUGGCCUUACCCUCUGUAUCAUCAGCCAGUCCAUUUUGCAAAUAUCUUAUGAACCACUGCAUUCUAGGGGAUUUUUAUAGCAAAAAGGAAGAAAGAUCAGCAUGUUCACAGAAUGUCCGAGGCUGGAAGGGACCUCUGGAGGUCAUCAGGUCUGAUCCCCCUAUCAAGAAGGGCCAGCUACAGCCAGUUGCUCGGGAUCCAACCCCUCCUUUUGGAGAUUUCAUUAUUCUCCCACAGUCUGCAUGACUGCUAUAACUUGUUCCUGGUCUGAGACAACUCAAAGGAGCUUUCUGAUCUGAGUGAGAAGCGCACCCUGACCUGCUUUCUGUCUGACCUCUGCAUAAGAAUUAAUAUCCAUCCACAACUCUUUUAAUGGUUAGUCUUUGGAAACAGGUAACCUAACAAGAAUGCCACCUUGAUUAACACUAAGGCUUGUUGACACCAAGAUUAAUAUGUACCGCAUCCUCUAGUUGUGAAAUGGUAGUGCCAGUGCCUUUGUCAAAAAACAUGAAACAACAGUAGGCAUCCUUUAAACUUAUUCAGGAGUUUGCUUAAUUUUUCUCAGUGGUUAUCAGUCUUGAAAGAGUUUUCCUGUGAAAAGUCAUUCCUUUGGAGAAGAGCACAACCUACACAGGCAGCAGCAGCCUUAGCUAACUUGGUUCAGCUCUCUCAUAUAGAAACCUAAUUUCUGUUCAUACCUCUCACUCUUCAGGAGCUGGAUCAUGUGCCUGUAUACAAGGUUUUACUAAGCACAGCAUGAAUCAGGCAAAAAUAAUGCUGCUGGAUCAGCAUUCGUUUACACUUGGGAUCUUGAUGUGGUGAAGUGCAGAUCAUGACACAGAAAACAUGUAUGUCCUUGUCUACUUCAAUGCCUGGACAAACUGAUCCCACAGAGAGCAAAAAAAAGUAGUCUUUACAACUUCAUUUUUUUUCCUCCUUCCUGACUCCACUGCUUUUAGUUCCUUUCAUUGCUCGCAUAAAACAGACAGUUACCCUAUGACAUAGUAAAAUAUUUAUGUGCUAAAACUUCCUUUUUAACAAUGGCCAGAGAUACCCUUAAUAAGCUGGUGAAAAACUUGGGUAGUUUGUGCAAUUUUCCUGCAUAUGUUAUUUUUUUCCAGUCAGUAUAUGCAUCAAUGUAACAAAAAACAAACCAAAAAAAAAGCCCUAAGCCAAAACAAAAAAACCAUCUGAAACUGAGUAACUCAUCUCUGACCAAUCCCUUCCCUCUUAGUUCUUUAGCAUUGCAAAACACACUGAUAUUAUUGACAUUAACAUACUAUUGACAUUAACAUACUAAUUGAAAUAAGGAUCAUUAGCUAUUUUUAAAUAAAGGAAAUAAAGCUAUGGACAACAUUAUGACUAAUAUAUGAAAGAGUCACUCAUACAGUAACUUGUAAAUAGAACAUUUGUGAUUAAUAGCUUUAUAUUUGUGGGAAAAGGCAUCCUUUUGAAAGACUGAUGCAAAUGAUAUGGGCAGAAAUUAAUCUGCUGUAUUUAAGAACUAGAGCAGUAAAAACAAAUACAGAGAAUUUGAAAGUUAUAUCUAAGAAAGAGCUAUGUGACCUUCAUGAGCCCUUAUUCACAGAAGCCAGAAUGGCACAUAGGAAGCAUCCCUGGAUAUAAUUGUACUGGUCUGGGGCCCUGUUUUUCCUUGCCAGGAGAUAGAGACAGCCCAACUAGCAAUCCAGAGAUACAGUGAGUAAACUGCACACUGCAAUGUGAAUUCAGAUAAGUAAAUUUAUUGCACUGAAAAAUUGACUCUUUUUUGAGGAAUGCAGGUGAUAUAAUACACAGAGUGAAUCCAGACCACCAGUGGGGAUGUGCAUUCUUAAGAACAGACACAGAGAAGACAGACUGACACUUUGGAGAGUCUAGAAAAAACACUGAUUUGAGAAUUUUGCACAUCACUGUUUGAUUUGACUUUCACAUGCUUUUCUGAGGGUGUGAAUCAAAAGAAGGGACCCAAAUAUGAGAAUGGAAGUACUGGCUUAAAACAAACUAUGAAGUACAGCUUUUAUGAAGUACAGAUUUGUGUACCUAGGCUGCUAAUUAUGACAAGCAGCCCAGUGAGGCUGUCAGGCAGAGAAAAGUAAACAAAAGGACUAUCAGAGAAAGGAGCACCUCUCCCAUAGCAAACUUCAUGUAUCAUUGAGAUUCUUGAAGAGAAUAAGAACCUGUAUAAGGACAAAGUCUUUUUUUCCUUCCCUUCAUAGUGCCAUUCUUAUAGAUAUGCAAGUGUUAGAAGAAAAAAAGGCUACUUGGUAAGGCUCAUGCAUAGCAAAUUUGUUUUCCCCCUUCCCCAUCAACUGUAAUUACAACCAUUCAGACAAAGCUGGUUUUCCCAGUAGGACUGGCUGAAAACGCACUUCAUUUACAUGGCCUAAUUGGGCUUUUUUGGCCAAGGUUGUUCUAUACACUGACACUAGGACUUGGUACUUAACAUUGAAAAGUUCAUUCUUGUGGUUUGAAGUUAAGGAUUUCAUUACUUUGAAGUUAGAAAAUCCAGAAUGAAGGUGUCUCCUUUAACACUGGUGCUUCAGUGGUAUGUACAUGCAUAAGAAUAAUAUCGGUAAUUAUAUUGGCCUCAAACAGCAAAGAGUCUGCAGAUUAAACAGACAGUCAUUUUAUUUCCUUCUUUGCUUAUAAAAAAAAUGUUUGAAAUGUCUAUGCUAUUGCAUGAAAUAUUUGGUUAUAUGGUCUUGUGGCCUUCAGAAAUCAAUACAGUGAACAGCUGAUUUGUGAAGAUCUGCUACAGAAACUGUUUGGGAAAAAUCAGCCUCUUCUAUAUUCUAUUAUUUACAUUAAGUAAGAUUUGGUUAUUUUUAUUGUUUAUUAUUUUGUUUGUAACUACUUGUCUCACUCAGCAAGACACAGAGUUCAUGAAUAUGUAUCUUAUAACCUUUUCUAAGCCAAGUGCAUAAGGUUUAGUUUCAGGGCCUUCUAUAUUGUUCAUGUCCUCUACAAUCAAGAAAGGUUUUGCACAGUCAUCAGUGCAAACUCAAGCCAUGUCUAGAAAGAAAAUUAGCAUAAAUAUUUCACCAGGCUUUGGUGUAGACAAGAUUCCAGCAGCUGAACCUGUUUUUCCACAUAUUUAAUUGCCACAGUAAUUAGAACAUAAGGGUUCAAAUCCACAAAUACAUUUGGGUGCCUAAUUCUCAUUAAUUUCAAUUGAGAGGUAGCACUUACAUCUCUUUAUGGAUAUAGAAGACACAGAAACCUCAAGAAUCUUAUCUGUUCUAAAAUGCCCAGACAAAUAUUGCUAUCGGCUUCUUCAGAGCAGCAGGAGUUUUAUUUUAAUUUCUGAUGAAGGUACAUCUUAAGCACAGAAAAUUGCAUGAUAACAAUGGAAGCUGUACUUGUCUCUUACCUCCUUUCUACCCAUCCAGCCAUUUUGAAACACAGAAGUUCCUACAUCAUGGGAUGCUUUAAGAAACUCAAAAAAUAAAUAUUUUUCUCCAUUGACUGCUGGAAAAUGAAGCUGGCAGUUUAUGCUCUUUUAUGAUCUGAUAAAACCUCAUGAAGCUAGUGGGACGAGCACGGCUUUCUACCCCUACUUAAUCCGCAGAUGUAAAGAGAAACUGUGAUCACACCUCCAGAUGCAAAUCCCUAAGAAUGAAGUUUUUGGGCCUGCAUGCAACUGUCCAAGUCUGGGAUGGUGCACAAAGGCUGGACCUACUGUGCUGCACUGUUCUGCUCCUCCCAAGUCACAUAUCAAUAUCUCUUUGCUCAUGCUGUGCCAAAAUUCCUGCAACUGCACUAUAAGCCAUAAAAGGGAACUGACCCCGUAGAAAAUUACCUUGUCUCUUUAAUUAAUUGCCAGUUGAAAAAUACAGUAUCUGGAACAGAUCCUUCUUUUUAGGGACUUUUUGUCAGGAAACAACAGCUAACCUUUGGAGGCAUGCCUCUGGAGCCACCUGUGUGGGCCACAGAGAGAGUGAUGACUACCAUCAGCUGCCAUUGGAAGGAGUUUCUCUCUUUUCAUCUCUAACUACUGAAGCCCAGCCUCUCAGUUUAAGCAACUGGGUUUGUUACUUGUGUGAUAUGACUACACACCCAGACUUACAUGAUUAAUCACAAUCACCCCACCUUUCUUUUUUAAACUUCAGUCUGAGCUUUGCCUACGUUGUCUUGUAACCAUAAUGAUACUUGCUAAAUAAAUGUUAGAAAUAGGGAAAGCGUAUCUCAAAAAAAUAGUGCUUAAAGCCAGAAGAAACCAUUACAAGCUUUGUUUUGUCUUUCUGCAUAAUUCUGGCCACAGAACCCUCAGUACUGGCUGUGCCAGGCUAUAACUGCUGUGUGAAGGUAGUAUAUCUUUCUGAAGAUGUCUGUCUUGAUUUAAACACUUCCAAUGUUGAAGGAUUCACUGCACUCCUAGCUAAGUUGUUCCAGUGUUUAAAUACCAUCACUCUUUAAAAUGUCCCUUGCCUGAUUUAGUAUAACUUCAGCUUCCAGUUCUACUUUGUUGUGUUUCAUUUCAUUUUGCUUUUUUCAGUUUAGUAUAUUGACCUAUAUUAUUCAAAUGAGACCCUCUCCUCCAUGUAUGGAUUUAUAGACUACAGUUUCCUUCUUUCCCUUAAAGCAAGCAAAUGAAGUUUCCUUCAUGUCUUAUCCUGGAUAAUUUCAGUAUAUUUUUCUAUGUCUUUCAUCAUUCAUUUAAAUACUUUUCGAAGUACAGAUACUACACCUGGUCAAAGGUUAGACUUACCUGUUCACUUUCAAACUUCAGUGCUUUUCUUACUUCAUGUCCACUCUUAGUGCAAAUACUUACUUCAUUAGUAUUUGAAAUUCACAUAUAACUAAUAUAAACACAACAGAUCUGUCCAAGCAAGACCCUGGAGACUGACUUGGUUUUUUUUAAAUUUAAGUUUAUUUGUCAAUACGCAAUGUUUCAAAAUAAUUUUUCACUCUUUGUAGAAAACUGUUUUCUGCUUUAGGAAUUUUUCUUCUUUUUUUUUUUUUCUUUCUUUGAAAAAUUAUUUGAAAAUUACUAAAAUGCAAGAGCCACACUAGUAUAAUUUACUAGAAGCCCUAAAAAUAAAAUAUUUAUUUUUUAAUGGUAAGAAAGAAUCAGUCAUUAAUUGUAGUUUCUGUCACAAACAUGGGCAGCAAUAUCAGUAAAUAGUACAGAGUCACUUUUUUUUUAUACUGACUAUUACUACUUGGCCUUUCAUGUGAAAAUUCUGCCUGUUGAAAGACAAAGUUAUAAUCUUACAAAUGAAACCAAGCUAAUAACUAUUCCCCUGACAAGACAAAUCUGCAGGCACUAACUAAGUUAGUGUCUAUUAUGCUUCACACUUAAUCUUGAAUAUGAUAGAUAGGAAGUGGAACUAAGGGUAAUAUUGAACAGCAGAAGAAACUGUUCCUCUAAUGUGAUAACUAACUUGUGACAGCGCCUUGAACAUCUUUCUUUGCAUUCAAAACAAAGCAAGUUGAAGUAAUGUAGUCCUUUUUAAAGUGCCAAAUAUAAGAUUUGCACAGCUUUUGUCACGAUGAGAAUGUCUAAGCCCAGACACCUGCAUCAAGCAGGUUUCCAGGGAGAACCCAAGUGAGGAAGGAGGAAGUCAGCCAGUGCACCACCAUGCUGCAGUGAGAGCAGGUCUGCAGCGGCUUGGGGCACUCACAGGGAUGAUCCGUUUGGUGGGGACAGCAUCUAUCCCUGUCACACAGGGAUAUGAGGUGCUUCACAGACAGAGCAUCUGUUUGUGCACCAGUGUCAGCAGAUUGCCACCUUGUUUUGUGCUGGUGGUCAGCAUUUGUGGAUCAUCACUCUGCUAGAGGUCCAACACAGCUGACCAAGCUGCCAGGAGAACAGCAACCCAGCUCCUGCCACUGCUUAUAAACCAGUUCCUUCCAACAUCUGAUUUCCAACAGAAAUGUGCCACAGCAUGAAACUUCAGCUGUGGGUGGCACAAAACCCACAAGCUUGUCUCUGUGUCACCAGGUUUCAUCCCUAGCCUUUGCCAUCCCUACAGCAGCUGUAAGCCAGCCAGUCUCAGACCUGUGCUCAACAACAGGGACUUGUAUGGUGCUGAAUGAAUGCAUGUUUUUAGUUCUUUGUAGUUUUCUAGAGACCAUAGAAGUUAGUUUUGUUCCAAUUUGAAAGCAGAUCAAAGAUACUCAGUAUCUCCAUUUCUCUUGAGGAUGAAGGUCUUGGAAUUGCUGAGCAUUGAGGAGGUACAAGUGUUUGCCAUGGAGCACAGUAGCCCAAAAGGUGUUUGUGCACACAGACGUGAAUGGAGAGCAGAUCACAAAGGACAAAAUGGAUAACAACAGACGCCUGGUCAUUAAGGAGGGUGGCAUACUGGCACAGGGGCAUCUUCAGUGCCACAUUACUUUCCAUCCUUUUGUGCUUUUAUUUGUUUGCCUGGGUAAAUGUCUUAAGAAACUUAAAAAAAUAAGAAUUGUUUGAAUGUCAAAUAUAAAUUGUGACUUAUUUUAAACAAUGUGUGUGUUUUAACCAGCCUUUUGACAUUAAAAAGCAUAUUUUGUCUCACAACCUGCUUAAAGCAAGACAAAAAGCUAAGCUACAGCUCCUUACAAACAAUGAAAGCAAUAAAUACAGUAAAUUACUGUUUUAUAUGAGACAAUAUACUAAUGUUAACUGAAGAAAUGGAAUUAGAAAACAAACUCCCUCUGGGAACAAUUCUCACACCCCUGUUUCAGAAGGAAGCAGAGUUUACUCAUAAAUAAUUUAAUACAUUUACUCCUGCUAGACUGGACUGACAGGUCUUCCAUAUACUGAAGCUUUGCUUCUCUGAUAAUUGCAAACUUUUUGAACUGAGAAAGUUGUCAACUACAAAGGUCUGUAUGGUUACUGUAGGACUAUCUAGGAACACAAAAAUGUGCUCUAUAAGACAGUAUUACUGAAUUUAGCUGUCAUGCCAAUCACCAUUUAAUAAUAAUAUUCCUUCAGACCUACUUCUCUUUAUGAGCAUGUAAAUAAUCUCUUCUUCAGAGCAGUACAACAACCCCUUCGUAACUUUAACAGUUGCCUACAUGAACAAGCAAUAGAAAGGAAAAGUCUUGGGCUUGUUUAAUGCAGUACAGCCACUAGAAUAAAAAAGAAAACAAGGCAGCUGAGUCUGUAAGAAUAGCAUGAUCUGUGCUUGCAGACUCAGCUGUACAGCAGUACAAAAGAACCAGUACCGAAAAAGAACUGCAUGAAGUACAUCCUCUGUUACCUGCCUCAGAAAGCAAUCUCACAAAAUACUGGACUUUGUUAUUAGAUUGGUUAACACUUCAUCUUUGUUUCUAAUUUUAAUGUCAUGUUUCUACCUACUUUAAUCACAGUGCUGCUAUAUCUUCCCUGAAUUCACAGAAACAGAUUCAGAGUUUGUCAAACCUAUUUUCAGCAUUAAGUGUACAGAGCUAUUGUAAUUAGUGGCUUCCUUUAACUCUCAUCCUUUUGACUUAAUCUUUCUUUAUUAAUCACUAAAAUGUGUCUUUAUAUGCAUACUGUGAACCAUCUAUUCCUAACUUCAACUUUUAUGUGGCUUUUUUUUUCACGGCUGCCAGCAGAUUUCUUAAGACUCGAGUGGAAGAGGUCUCGGAAGCUGGUCACUUGACUCAGAGACUAACAGAUUUACAGGAAACUCACCAGUGGUGUUGGCACAGGAGGGCCCGGACUUGCAAAAUCCUUGGUCAGUAGGAUCUAUGAGAUACAAAGAGUUGCUACAGAGAAAAGAAUGGGGCACUGAGAGACUUUUCUUCUCACAAAAAGAAAUAGCUGAUCAGGGAUUCACAGAGGACACUGUGAUGUGCCUGUCUGAUAUGCAUGACCUUGUGUUAAAGAGACUUCUGAAAGUGUUUGUGCUGCUAUUUACUGGGUAUCAAAUUAUGGAUAUGUGCUUAUUAAGAGAAUAACAUGUGAGUUUGCCUAUAAUCAUUGUAGCCA